CCCGCAGGGGGCGGGCAGGGCAGCUGGCUUCCGGCUGCCCCCUGGCGCGGUGGUGGGGGUCGCGGGCCUGCGGGAGAGGACCCUGAGCUCCCCCGAGCCGGAAGCGUCCUGACCCGGCCGGCCGAGCCUGGCGGGUCGCCCUCUAUUGAGACGCCAGUCGGGCACGUUGGCUGCACGAAGAGCGCUACCAAGUGCCUCAGGAUUUUGAGCGGGGUCUCUCUUGCCUUUCCCUGAACAAGCCUUCCACCGCCAGAGCAUGUCCGGGGCGCGAAAAGAACCGGUGGGGGAGCGGAAAGCGCCUUGGCGUAGGAAGAGUAGAGAAUGAAUUCCUUCCGAUUUGCUAGCUCUGUGAUCUUGGAUCCCUUCCUUGCGCUUCUGCUCUGCUCUGUAUUGCCUUGCAGGGUGUAGUUUCUCAGGCUUCCAGGACAGCUGCCUUUCAGGCUUGGGUUUGGCCAAUGGGAGACAUCGGCAGGAGACUGGAAGUUAGGAGCCACACCACGCAGCUUGUGGGAUGUUCCCUGACCAGGGAUUGAACCUGGGUCCCCCCGGAAUUCUAACCACUAGGCCACCAGGGAAUUCCCGAUUGGUGCUUCUUUACCAAAGAUACAACUCUAGCCCUCUGUGAAUCCUCCUGCCUCCUAGAUAUAUGAAGAAUGAUAUAUGACAAAAAUCUACCUCAAGAUAUCAGCAUGCGGGAUCACAGUUCCCCAACCAGGGAUCAAACCCGAGCCCUCUGCAGUGGAAGCGUGGAGUCUUAACCACUGGACCGCCAGGGAAGUCCCCAGUGUUUGCUUUUCUAAACAACUGCAUUUUGGGGUUGUUUGUUACACAGCCUUGCCACAGCAAGAAGCUGAAUAGCACUCCAGACCCUGCAUUUUCUCCCCAAUCCCCUUGUUCUUUUUUGAAAAAAAUGUUAUAUGGCUGAGGGUGGCAUUAGGGGGACAAACCCUCUUGGUUUGCCUGAGUGAUUGAGGGGUUUCCUAGGACAUGGGGCUUGCAGGUUUUUUAAAAUAGCUUUAUUGAGAUAUAAUUUACAUUCCAUACAAUUCACUCAUUUACAGUGUACAAUUCAAUGUUUUUUUAGUAUAGUCACAGAGUUGUACAACUGUCACAACAAUCUAAUCUUAGAACAUUUUUGUCCCUCCUAAAAGAGGCUCCAGACUCAUCAGCAGUCACUAGCCAUUGUCCCCACCCCCCAUCCCACAGCAACCACUAAUCUACAUCCUGUCUAUAAAUUUGCAUAUUUUGGACAUUUCAUAUAAAUGGAAUCAUACAGUAUGGCCUUUUGUGGCUGAUUUCUUUUAAUUAGCAUGUUUCCUAGGUUCAUCCUUGUUGUAACAUGUAUCAGUGCUCCAUUUCUUUUUAUUGCUGGACAAUAUUCAGUUGUAUAUAUAGACCACAUUUUACUCAUCCCUUCAUCGGUAGUGGACAUUUGGGUUGUUUCCACUUUGGGGCUACUGUGAAUAGUGCUGCUAUGAACAUUUAUGUACAAGUCUUUGUUUGCACAUCUGUUUUCAGUUCUUUUGGGUGUAUGCCUAGGAGUGGAAUUGCUGAGUGAUAUGGUAAUUCUAUGUUUAACUUAUUGAGGAGCUGCCAAACUGUUUCCCACAGCUGCUGCAUGGUACAUUCCUACCAGCAGCGUAAGAGGAAUCCAAUUUCUCCACGUCCUUGCCAACACUUGUUAUUGUCUAUCUUUUAUAUUACAGCCAUCCUAGUGGGUGCACAGCGGUAUAUCAUAGCGGUUUUGACUUGCAUUUCCCUAAUGACUAAUGAUGUUGAACAUCUUUUCAUGUGCUGUUUCCCCAUUUGUGUAUCUUUGGAAAAAUGUCUAUUCAAAUUCUUUGCUUGUUUUUAAAUUAGGUUAUUACUCUUUGUAUGGUUGAGUUGUAAGGGUUCAUUAUACAGUCUGGAACCUAGACCCUUCUCUGAUAUAUGAUUUGUAAAUAUUUUCUAUUCUGUGGAUUGUCUUUUUACUCUCUUAAUUUGCAGCACAAAAGUUUUAAGUUUUGAUGUAGUCCAAUUUAUUUUUCUUUGGUCACUUUUGCUUCUGGUGGUGUGUCUACCAGCCUCCUUGUUCGUGGUCGACAUCCCGAAGCAGUUAUGGCAUUUUUUUCUCACUGAAACUGGAUGCCACCUACCUUGAAACUUUCCUCAACACUGUGCUAUAGGCAUUGUAGUGGUUAAAAGCCCAAGCUCUGGAGACAAACUGUGUGGGUUCAAAUGCCCACUAGUGCUACCACUUAAUGGUGGUGUUUUCUUCACCUGAGGGUCACUUGCCAGGUGAGCACAAUGCUGGGUGUAGGCGAGAGAAAUCAAGAAUGGGUAUAGACCAGGAGGAUAAUUAAUAUAGCUUAUCUUGUAUAUGCUCUUGUAAUGGAUUGGACUUAAUGGAGGGCCUGAACAGAUCUGAGAGUUCAGGAUGUGGACCAUACAGGAAACUCUGGUGCAUUACUUCACAUCUUCUCAGGCACACCUCUUUACCAGCCACUGUUGCCAACUUCGCACAGGUACAGCCCAACUGCACCUUGCCCAUACUUUGCACCUCUCACUUCUUGCUCUGGGGCUCCUCUGACUCCUCAGUGUGGGAUGCUUGGAGACCCACUCAGCACUAAUAUAUGCGCACCCUAGAAGAGGGUGGAAUGUAUGCCCCUGGGGCCAUCGUUGACCAACAGGGAUGGGAGCUAAUGAAUAAGUGCUUACACAUUUGUCCUUCACUUUGUUUCCCCAAGGAUACCAAAAGAAGGGGUGAAGGAUACUGAACAGGUAUAAACAACAGCUACCCACUUUUUCUACUAAAAAAGAAUCUAUAGAAGGAUCCCAGGAAUCUAUACGUGUAACGAGCCCUAUAGGUGACUCCCAUGCACACUAAACAAGUUUGCAAAACACUGAAUUAGGGCGUUUUCUGAAGGAAUUUACAUUAUAAGAGGAGCAGAGAUUACAGCCCUGGCACACUUGAACAUUCCCUCGCAUCACACAGAAAAGCACUAUAUGACUGUCUGUCUCCAUCUUCAUGGAUGCUUUUCCUCUUCUGACUUGGCAUUCCCGUCCUCAGGUGCACCAAGCAUGUAUACAUGAACUUCCUUCUUAGUCUCUAUGUAAGACAACUUCUCUCUUCCUAAGGAAGGCUCCAGCCCUCUUCCCCAGGAGGAGGUUUUCCUUCUGGGUUCCUUCCUGCAUCCUGUUGUCUGAAGAGAGCAGGGUCCUGGGCUUCAGCCGGAAGGGCAUUGAUGUUCGCUUCCUGCCAGCCCAGCAAGCUAUGGGUGAUGAACGGCCUCUAGGACCCAGAGCAAGGAUGCCUAUAGUGGGC